rnacentral:lncRNA from 1 species
AGAGGGAGGAGUUAAGGAGACAGACAGAGAGAGAGAGAGAUCUGAGGAGAAGAGGGAGAACCAAAAUGGAGGCUGACGUGGUGUUAUCAAAGGAUAUGUGCAAGAUGAGAGCCAGCCAUCGUCUCCUGAUAGUGGAGAUUUGAUCUGAAGCAUUCAAAUAGGAAAUGAAUGCUCAGAGGAAGCUUCAAAUUUCUUUCUACUUGAAGAAGCUGAAUUGCAGAAGCUAUCUCUGUCCUGUUAAUCACCGGGUCCACAGUGAAACCAGCCAACUUCAGAGAGUGAGUUAAAAGAGAGACUCUUGUGCUGCGUGACCCCUGACUGUAACCAAGUGUCCUUCUCUCUGAGACGUUCCCUCGGAGCUUGUUCUCACAGCCCUCACCUCCAGUGACCUCCACGAACUUUUCCACACGAGGGGUUCUCUGCUUCCCUCCAUCUGAGCUGCGCAAUUCCACCAGGCCUUUUGCUCCUCUUCAGUCAGGUGCUUUGGAGGUAAUGAAGUCUUUCGGGGGAAAAAUAAACAAAGGAAAUGCACCCGGUUGAUGUCAAUGGACUUGUUUAACUAUUUAAGGCCACUGUCUCCAAGUGUAAGUGUGCUGCGGUGUGUUUUGUAAAGUAGCGCUUAUAAUCCACUGAGCUUUCCAAACAGCCCUCUUGCCUAUUAAGCCUGCAUUGAGAAGUGGGUUUAAUUUGCCAGAGUAGUUUUUUGUGAUAAUUACAGGACUUGCAGAUUAGCUUGAGUGACUUGGCAAGGUUCUGUAGCUAAUAAAAAAUCACACAGGAAAAAAAUUGUAACAUUCAAUUGCUUCAAGGUUCUUCACGAGAGAAACAUUAAACAAACCUGAUAGGCCAGUUUCCAGUCUGUGAAGGGACUUGGAGGCAAGCCGGGAGAGAGGGAGGAGAAAGAGAUCGCCAUGAUGGGGAAGAAGGAAGAGGAGACCUAAAGGCCAGCUGACAUGUGAGAAUCAGGGAAAGUGGCCACACGGGCCACUUCCACAGCUGUGUUUGAGGACCAACGGUACUGUUGCUCUAGCUACAGGAAUAAUCCUGGGCAGCACUUGUUGACCUUGGUCACUGUCAAGGGAAGAUCGGCUGUUCCCACUGAGGGCAUCUUGAUGGAUUAAGGUGAUCAGCUGAUCAAUGUGAGGGGACAGAUGGGAGCUAGGAACUGUCUCGGUACUGAGUCAUUUUUCAUCUAAUGUGCAAGAAACCCAAAGAGCACAUCAAACAGCGAACUACGCCUAAGCUAUCCAUGUUUCUCCUGCUUCUUCUGAGAGGGUGAUUUACACGUAGCUCAACACUCGAGUGUUGCAGUAUCGAGUGACUGCAACCAAACAAUGGAACAUGCAUCGUGCCUGUUGACAGAGCCUGCAGUUGGCUUGGAACCGGGACCAUGCUGCAUUCGACAUCGUUCCUGGUGGCUGACUUGUUCCCAUAGAAUUAAAUGCUAGGCAUCCAGAAGCUGACUGUGCAUCUGAUGGGCUCACUAACAUUCAGGAACAGGUUGGCCUCAGACUUCAUCAAUGGAAAGAGCCACCUAGAACAUGGAUGCAAGCUGGAACUUUGACGUUGUCUUGGGGAUAAAAGUUAAACAAAGAAGUGGAUUCUUCAGUCCUGACGCGUAAGUCACUGAGAGGAUGAGCUCGUUCCCUCUCCUGAAAGACAUCUUCCUGUUACAGCAGCCAGCUUUGCCAGCUCCCUGAACGUUCUGCUGCCUCCUUGCCCAGAACA